rnacentral:rRNA from 1 species
AGUGAACGCUGGCGGUAGGCCUAACACAUGCAAGUCGAACGGCAGCACAGUAAGAGCUUGCUCUUACGGUUGGCGAGUGGCGGACGGGUGAGGAAUACAUCGGAAUCUACUUUUUCGUGGGGGAUAACGUAGGGAAACUUACGCUAAUACCGCAUACGAUCUACGGGUGAAAGCAGGGGAUCUUCGGAGCUUUCGCGAUUGAAUGAGCCGAUGUCGGAUUAGCUAGUUGGCGGGGUAAAGGCCCACCAAGGCGACGAUGCGUAGCUGGUCUGAGAGGAUGAUCAGCCACACUGGAACUGAGACACGGUCCAGACUCCUACGGGAGGCAGCAGUAGGGAAUAUUGGACAAUGGGCGCAAGCCUGAUCCAGCCAUACCGCGUGAGUGAAGAAGGCCUUCGGGUUGUAAAGCCCUUUUGUUGGGAAAGAAAAGCAGCAGGUUAAUACCCCGCUGUUCUGACGGUACCCAAAGAAUAAGCACCGGCUAACUUCGUG